rnacentral:tRNA from 1 species
GGGGGCAUAGCUCAGUUGGGAGAGCAGCAGACUGAAGCGCAUCGUGCUUUCUGAAGGUCCCGCGUUCGAUCCGCGGUGCCCCCA